AAACCCUCUCCAGGAGAAUUCUGCAGUUUUACAAAGUAACACUGGUGCCACUACAAAUGGGACUAGGUACUAUUGGGUCAGUGUGGGAAAGGAGACACAGCAGCAAGGAUAGCUCCUGUAUUCUACCAAGUUUCCUGACCAAUUUCCCGCCUCUCAAUGAAGACACUGAAUACCAGAGAAAACUGAAAAGUAUCAGACGAAACAUGUCCAGUGGCACAUCAAGAUUAAAUAAACUCUGGUGGGAAAACGAUCAUGACACACCUGUGACCACAUCCAGAUUUCCAGAGAUGCCCAAGCUGAAAGCCAGACA
rnacentral:lncRNA from 1 species